GCCGGUGGGCACACACCUGUAAUCCCAGUGACUUGGGAGGCUGAGAGAGGGGAAUUGCAAGUUUGAGGCAAGUCUCAGCAACUUGGUGAGGCCCUUAGCAACUUAGCAAUACCCUGUCUCAA
rnacentral:sRNA from 1 species